rnacentral:rRNA from 1 species
CGCGUAGGCGGGCGAUCAAGUCCAGGGUGAAAUCUUUCGGCUUAACCGGAAAAUAGCCUUGGAUACUGGUGGUCUCGAGGGAGGUAGGGCCGUUGGAACUUCCGGUGGAGCGGUGAAAUGCGUUGAUAUCGGAAGGAACGCCGGUGGCGAAAGCGAACGGCUGGACCUCUUCUGACGCUGAGGCGCGAAAGCCAGGGGAGCAAACG